UACGUAGGGCGCAAGCGUUGUCCGGAAUUAUUGGGCGUAAAGAGCUCGUAGGUGGCUUGUCGCGUCUGCCGUGAAAUCCCGUGGCUUAACUGCGGGUCUGCGGUGGAUACGGGCAGGCUAGAGGCUGGUAGGGGCAAGCGGAAUUCCUGGUGUAGCGGUGAAAUGCGCAGAUAUCAGGAGGAACACCGAUGGCGAAGGCAGGUCUCUGGGCAUUAACUGACGCUGAGGAGCGAAAGCAUGGGGAGCGAACAGG
rnacentral:rRNA from 1 species